GCCGGUGUAGUUCAAUGGUAGAACGAAGGACUCAUAAGCCUUAGAAGGUGGUUCAAUUCCACCCACCGGCA
rfam:Parcubacteria (Nomurabacteria) bacterium GW2011_GWC2_35_8 TR91_C0042, whole genome shotgun sequence.